GGCUAGUGUCCUACUGUCUGUCCAGAUCACAGUGGUCCUCAUCCUUCCUGAUGCUGCAACCCUGUUAUACAGUUCCUCAUGCUGUGGUGACCCCCCCAACCAUAAAACCAUAACAUUAUUUUUGUUGCUACUUCAUAACUGUAAUUUUGCUACUGUCUUGGUUAGGGUUUUCAUUGCUGUGCACAGACACCAUGACCAAGAACUCUUCUUAUAAACAAAACAUUUAAUUGGGAUUGUCUUACAGGUUCAGAGGUUCAGUCCAUUAUCACCAAGGCAGGAACAUGGCAGUAUCUAGGCAGGCAUGGUGCAGGAAAAGCUGAGAGUUCUGCAUCUUCAUCUGAAGGCUGCUAGCAGAAUACUGGCUUCCAGGCAGCAAGGAUGAGGGGCUAAAGCCCACACCCACAGUGACACACCUACUCCAACCAGGCCACACCUACUUCAACAGGGCCACACCCACUCCAACAAGGCCACACCUACUUCAACAAGCCCACACCUAACAGGGGCCACACCUUCUAAUAGUGCCACUCCCUGGGCCAAGCAUAUACAAACCAUCACAGCUACAGUUAUGAAAUCAUAAUGUAAACAUCUGAUAUGCAGGAUAUCUGACAUGUGACCCCCAAAUGGGUCAUGACCCAUAGGUUGAGAACUGCUGGUCUAGAACUAUCCCUGUUUCCCAUCAACGUCAUCGUCAGACAUCCUCUUGUCUCAGUGUCUCGUCUCAGUGUCAUCUAUGUGAGAGUUUCCUGGGGUGCCCCAAAUAAGCAACUGCUCCUCCCACCAGACCUCUACUGAAGCUCGUCCAUCCUUCAUUCACCCUUCCCCCAUCUUCAGGCCAGGGGUCGCCUGCCAGUUACAAGGGCCAGGCCUGCAAAGAAUGAAGUUCGUGUGUAGCAGUGUCUGGUGGGAAGAGACCUGUGGCGGAAGGAAGAGUGUUGAUCUAGAUCUGACCUGCUGCGGAGGUGCUGCAGGACAGGCCUCAGAUGAGAUGCUUUCUGCCUCUGGGGAGCUCCUUCCCGUCCUGCCCUCUGCUGUUCCUCUCCUGCGUGAUGUUCCACCAUGACACCUCUAGAAAGCACGGCUACUCCAGGGCUUGGCUAUUGUGAGCUAGAUGAAAACAAGACACAGCAUAAUCCGGGUGUCGAGAUGCAUUUACCUGAAGAAACCCAGUACCCUUCCACGUGAGCUGCACUUUGCUGGGGGGUCUGGGCUGGGCUCCCUCUUAGAUGAAGACCGCAUCUCCGAGUCACGGCUCUCGCUUG
rnacentral:lncRNA from 1 species